UCCAACGAGAAGUGAUGCAGAACUGCAUUUCAAAGGCUUUUUUAAUAUUUUGCUGACAUCUGCAUCACUGAUUGAUUUUAUUUAUGUAAAUAUGGACUAAUUGAAUUAUCAUACAAAAUUGCGUUGAAUCCAUCUCUCUCCAUCAAGAUGUGUUUUGAUACAAUGAGCUAUUCAGUAUAUCAGGAUUGUGAAGAUGCAGUUUUUCACUUGUUUAUAGGCUUGAAUUGACUAGAUCACUGCUAAUGUUCACAUCAUUGGACAAAUAAUCUUCUAUUGUAUCUCUUAUUUGAGACAUUCAUUUUUUUCACUGACAUAACUACACAUCUCAAAAUACAUCCCUGCAAAGUACCGGCUUUGUGAAAGGAAAUUUAUUAAAAGAUCUCAAAGAAAAUUAAUGGACUACCCAAAGAUAUGACAUAUGUUGACUUGGUUGAAAACAUCAUUCCAAUAGAGAAAAGGAAGAAGAAAACCAAAGUUACCCCAAUGGAUACCCACUGCAAUGGUUUCCAAGGACAUCAUGUUUGCAGUGAAUUUGAACAGCUCAGUUUGUUUUUCAAGAGGUGACUUUCAGUUCCUUCAGGCUCAAGAAUCCCUUUGAAGCUGAUGGAUCAUGCUGUUGUUUAUUCAAUAAACAUUGAGCUCACAAUAUGCUUAUGGAAUGGCACUAGAAGCUGUGGGCAAUAAAAAAAAAAACAAUGAGUAAGAUGUGCUCCAUGACCUUAAGAAGUUUAUAAGCUCCUGUGGGUAAAAUAGUUUUUUUUAUUGGUACUGUAGGCUUAAUAACAUAUUAACCCAGUAUAUAGUAGGCAUUCAAUAAAUGUUGAAUAAGUUAAUGAAAUACUAGAACAAAACUGUCAUCUUUUUUUACAGAAUGCUAGAAGAAAGUUUAUUUUAAUUUGAACAUUGGAAACAGAAAAUAUUUCUCUUCUACUUCUCUAAAUGUUGAAACCUGACCUACCUUCAAGACUCAACUUAACCAUAAAUGUAGCAAUGAAAAAUCCAAGCUGAAGGCUUGGUGUGCAUAGGAAAGUGGAAAAGUCUAUCAUAUAAUUAAGAAAUGAUUAGCUGAUUGUGGAAUUAUGGGUGUAGGGAGAUGUCAGGCUGAGUUAGACCAAAUAUAGAAUCAUAAGACAAAGACAGGGCUGGCAUUGUGGAGUAGUUGGUAAAGCCACCACCUGAGACACCUGCACGUGUAUGGGAGCUGGUUUAUGUCCCAGCUGCUCCACUUCUGAUCCAGCUCCCUGUUAAUGGCUGAAAACAAAAAAAGCAGCUGAAGAUAGCCCAAGUGUUUGGGCCCCUGCCACCCAUGUGUGAGACCCAGAUGAAACUCUUGACUUUGGCCUGGUCCAGUCCUGGUUGUGGUGGCCAUUGGGAGAGUGAACGAGCAAAUCCAGCACAUGGAAGACCUCUCUCUCUCUCUCUCUCUCUCCCUCUCUCCCUCUCUCCCUCUCUCCCUCUCUCCCUCUCUUCCUCUCUCACUCUCCCUCUUCCUAUAUCUCUCUCCCCUUCUAUUUCUCUGUAACUCUGAUUUUCAGAUAAAUAAAUGAAUAAGCCUUAAAAACAAAGGUAAAGACAGAUUGAAAAAACAGUUUUUGAUAAACAAUACAUCUUUUAAGUAAAAAAAAAAAUUCAUCGUAAACAAAAGUGUCUUAUUUCCUUUUGAUGACAGUAUAGCACCAGGAAGAAAGGCUGUAGAAAUUAAAAGAAAUCAAAGAAAUUCAGUCUCUGAACUCUUCUAUAUAGAUUGAUAUGUAGGCUAUCUUGGAGAAAUUAGUUGUUAAGGUCAUUUUCUACUUUUCUUAUUUUUCUUGGUGGCAUGUUUUAGU